UACGUAGGGUGCAAGCGUUAUCCGGAAUGAUUGGGCGUAAAGCGUCUGUAGGUGGCUUUUUAAGUCCGCCGUCAAAUCCCAGGGCUCAACCCUGGACAGGCGGUGGAAACUACCAAGCUGGAGUACGGUAGGGGCAGAGGGAAUUUCCGGUGGAGCGGUGAAAUGCAUAGAUAUCGGGAAGAACACCAACGGCGAAAGCACUCCGCUGGGCUGAUACUGACACUGACAGACGAAAGCUAGGGUAGCGAAAGGG
rnacentral:rRNA from 1 species